rnacentral:rRNA from 1 species
UACAGAGGGGGCAAGCGUUGUUCGGAUUUACUGGGCGUAAAGGGCGCGUAGGCGGCUUGACAAGUCACUUGUGAAAUCUCCGGGCUUAACUCGGAACGGCCAAGUGAAACUGUCAUGCUAGAGUGCAGAAGGGGCAAUCGGAAUUCUUGGUGUAGCGGUGAAAUGCGUAGAUAUCAAGAGGAACACCUGAGGUGAAGACGGGUUGCUGGGCUGACACUGACGCUGAGGCGCGAAAGCCAGGGGAGCAAACGGG